rnacentral:lncRNA from 1 species
GUUGACAUGUCAUCACUUCAUUUUUUUGCGCCUGCGCAUAAAUCUGAGAAGCGUGAGUUUGUCAUUAAUUGUUUAUCUAGACAUAGGAUAGGUUGUGUGAAAAUAUUACUGAUGUUUAACGUUAAAAAUGGACCAAAAGAUUAAUGCUAAACAACAUUUGACAUGUUUGAACGGACGUAAAUAGAUUAUAUUACUAGGUUUUUUUAGCUUUUCUGCGUGAUUUUACACUCCCCCCACCACGUUUUGUGGGAGCAUAAUGAACGCUAAGUACUUGGUGUUAUUUGGACAUAAAUUAUGAACUUUGUCAAAAGAAACCACAUUUGUUCCGGACCUGGGAUGCCUUCCGGACCUGGGAUGCGUGCCUUCUGAUGGAGAUAAUCAAAGGUUGUUUCCUCGCCAUCCUUGAGUGGAGGGACAAAGAGGGUGUCACGACCGUCGUAUGAAUAAUUGGACCAAGGCGCAGUGUGAGUAGAGUUCCACAUUUUAAUGAUAGUGAAACUUCCAAAACAACAAAAAAUAUAACGAUAGUGAAAUAUGUAGCGCACAUAGCCACUCAUACAAAACAAUCUCCCACAUAGCAGGUUGGAAAAACAACACACUAAGUAUGAUCCCCAAUUAGAGGUAACGAUAUUCAGCUGCCUCUAAUUGGGAACGAUACACACACACCAACAUAGAAAUAUAAUACCUAGAAACCCCCCUGGUCACACCCUGAUCUAAAACACCCCAGAGAACCCCAAGGGCUCUCUAUGGUCAGGGUGUGACAGUACCCCCCCAAAGGUGCGGACUCCAACCACAAAACCUG